rnacentral:lncRNA from 1 species
GUUCUGCUUUCAGCAGCUACUUUUCUGGUUUGAAGGGGGGAAGGAAAAAAAAACUGGGGAGAACUAGGCGGCUUUCUGAUCAGAGUUCAGAUAAAAAGGGUCACAGUAAUUUGUGGGCACUGACUAAAAUAACCCAAUGGAUUUGAGAGUUACCGCAAAAGAAGCAAACAGACAAACUAAAGAGGUAUAACUCCUACUUGAAGAGUGUGAGAGAAUAUUUACUACUCGGAUGUUUGAGACAUACCAAAAAAUGCUUUUUGAUCCUUUAUCAAGAAGACGUAAUGACCAAGAUUGAUAAAGAAAAAUGCAAUGGUUACUUUACCUGCAACCAUCUCAAAGACGCUCUAAUGUCAUUUCAGAGGACUUCAGCCAUGAACUUGGUGAUGAGCCAGAGAAGGUAACUUUUCAUCCCCUACAAGACCUCCCAGAGGCCUUUAUUCUUCUUACAGCGAUUCUGCUGUGAAUUCGUACGGAAUGGGCUCCAGCAGCUCAGGCUACUUUCCACUGGGUCUCACAAAGUGUGCUUCUCGAAGCAGGCUGGGGCUUCCCUUGAACCCAGAUUCCCACUUAUGUACCUAAAGGAGCAACUCCAUGUUUUCCAAAAGGCCUGAAAAACAUAUAGCAGAUUCCAUGUUGCAGCUAACCUUAAAGAAAUCAUCACUUGGAACUGAUUCAGAAUCCCAUAUCACAUUUUGUUAUUACUUUUGCCUGGUCUCCUGCUGUCUGGAACAGUUUUUCAGUCUUCCUUCAUUUUCAAGAGUGUGAAAGGAUCCCAAGACCAAAAGUCUGGGAACUGCUGGUUUAGAGUCACAAUACUGACUGCUCAAAAUGACUUUUUAAAGAAGAAAGCCUUAAAAACCCUUGAGUGAAUGGUUGGUAUUUACAGACAAGCAAAUGUAUGGAAGAGAAACGAGAGACCCAGCCUGAAUCUGUUGAAUGAACGAAAGGGGAAAUGCCCUAAGGAGUCAGAUGGAAGAAGUUUUUCUGGGAAGAGCAGAACACAGGAGUUGGGGUGCAGACCUCCUGGAUCACCAGCAGAAGGAAAAGAGCAGUGAGACGUUAAAGUGAUUGAGACAAAAAUGGAAGUAAAACAGCUUAAGGCUUUCUGAGAUCGAGUUCCUGGCAGUGUCAUCAGCAGAUGGUUUCUUCUGAAGUUCAGGGGAAGAGAAGAUGCUCGAAGAACUCUCCAGGGACUGAGUGGGUGGUACAGAGCUAGUGCUGUAGAUGCCAUGUAUACAGGCAAAUUCCCCAAUGAGUGUUUUCCAAUAUCAAGUUUAACUGGCAUUUAAGAUAUAUGCCAAAGGUAGGUAAAUUAUUUUGGCCUGUGCUUAUAGGUUUAUUUCCCUGGAUGAAGCUUUCUGUCUCUGUCCUAGUGCACUGUAGCAGAUGCAGGGUCUUUCCAUACAAUACAUUAAAAGCUGCAUCUCAUUUUAAAUAUAUUAUAGAAACCCUGAUCAUACAAUACAUACAAGAUUUUUAAGAUCAGCCUUCAGUCGAUUUUUUUGCUUUAUUUUUGUUCUGGAGGUCAAAAUGAGUGGUUAACUGUCUAAGUUGAUUGCAGAGAAAGUUACUACUCAUUCUAAACGUAGGUUUUUAGAAAAGUGUUCUUGGCAGUUGCUACCAUUGGCUUUUUCCAACUUACAUGGGAAUCAAGAUUCAGAACUGGUACACCAAUGGGAAGAGCCUGGAAAAUAGACUAUUGAUCAAGAUGAAUCUGGUCCAGAUACUUUAAGACCUUUUCAGUGUGUUUUUAAGAUUAUAAGUUUGAACUAACAGAAACUUCAAUGCUGUUUUUUCACAAGUCAAUGUGUAGUGUACUGUUAUUCUUUUUUUUCCUGUAAUAUCUUAAUAAUAUUCCUGGCUGUAAGAAAAAGUUAACACUAUACCUAUGUUUUGACUUACUUUAUAGAAGACCCAAACAAUAUUUAACAAAAGGAUUUUUCUCAAAUACUAUUUUGAAAUCACUAUAUUAGACACUAUCUUAAAUUUAUUUCUCAAUUUGCUUCUUUUUGAAACUUCCACAUUUUGGUGUUCUUUUCAGCAUCACUCAUUUUCUUUCAUAAUAAAGAUACCCAAUAACAAUAUCAUAAUAAAGAUUUGAUAACAAAUCUCCAGUUUUGGAGUGUUACAUUUCAUAUCUACAUGCUUACAGAGAAUUUAGUAUGAAUAUUCCCUGGCCUUAGUUCCUCUAAGCCUAGGAUACUUGUAGUCAUUUGGCAAAUAAUUUAAUCCAUGGCAAACAUGAGUCUUAAUACAAAAAUUAUUGAGUAGGCAAAAAAUAAUUGAACAUAUUUUGGACUGAUUACCAGUGCAUUAAAAAAGUAGAGGUUUAAGGAUGAGAAUAAUAAGUUUUUUUGUUUUUACUUAAAUUUAUAUAAAAGGAGUGAAAAUACAGUAGCCUAUAGUACUUAAGAGUGUGGGUAUAUUUUCAGCACUUAAUAAUUACUAGUUGAAUUGCAUAAUAUGGGACUAUAACUGAUAUGGUUUGGCUCUGUGUCCCCGCCCAAAUCUCAUGUUGAAUUAUAAUUUCCAAUAUUGGAGGAGGUACCUAGUGGGAGGUGACUGGAUCAUUGGGGGAAAUUUCCCCCUUGCUGUCCUCAUGAUAGUGAGUGAGUUCUCACAAGAUCUGAUGGUUUAAAAGUGUGUGGCAUUUCCCCCUUUACUCUUUCUCUCUCCUGCUGGCCAUGAGAAUAAGUGCUUGCUUCCCAUUCACCUUCUGCCAUGCUUGUGUUUCCUGAGGCUUCCCAGCCAUGCUUCUUGUUCAAGCUGCAGAACUGUGAGUCAAUUAAACCUCAUUUCUUCAUAAAUUACCCAGUCUCAGCUCUUUAUGGGAGUGUGAGAAUGGACUAAUAAAAUAUCUCUAGAAUUAUGUUUUUGGAGAUAAUUUAAAGAUAAACAAAUAUUGGAAACCUCAUUUGAUCACACAGAGAACAGUAAAUGGAAGUUCUACUUUUUCUCCAGGGCCUUUCUCAUGCUUAUGCAGGGAUUAUUCACCCAGAUAUCCUGAAAUAAGACAUCCAAUUAAGGUACCUGCUAUCUCAUGUAACACAGAAGAAAGUUGAGCAUAGAGGUUAAACAUUACCUAAUAUUGUUGGAAAAGCUUCGAAGCGUUCAUUUUCAAAGCAGCUAAUGUAAACCAUGAUAAUCACUAGUAGCACUAUGCCAUUUUAAAUACUUCAAUAUUUUGUAGUUAUUAGAUUCUAAGUAAGUAUAAAAUGUAGUGAAUACAAAUUUUAUUUGCCUAAACAGUGUUAGACAAUAUAAAUUAACGAGUUAUUUUUUAUUCUGUUUAAUAUUUUCAAGCCAAUAAACACUUUACUAAAGUA